ensembl:lncRNA
AAAUGUUUCUUAAUUAAAAGGCCAUUCGGGGUGGGGUGGGGGAGUACCAAGGACAUUGUGCUCAUUGACUGUCUCUUGACACCCUGCAAUCUCUGUGGAGGGGGACAGCAUCCUCCAGGGUGUCAGGAACAGGAGGGCUCGGAGUCAAUUCUCUGGGUCACUUGAGACUUCCAGAAGGUACUAUUUUUAAAAAGAAAUCAAACCUGUGUUCAUGAAUUGAGGUCUUUAUUUUCCAUACAGUGUUUGACAGUUUUCCCAGAGAGAAAGAAAACAAGAGAAAAUGUGGGAAAAUUCCCCAAAUGCAUGCAGUCACAGCAAGGGAGAAAACUGUUCUGGUUGCCCAGCUUCUGACUGAAAUGCAGAGGAAGGUCCCACUGUCCCCCAGGCCCCAGGCCUCAUUCUAAUUUAUUGAGGGAAGGACCCAGGAGGUAAAUCUCGGUGUCAUUCUCUAAGCCACCUGAAAUGAGCCCAUUAAACUGCCUCCCGUGAAUGGAGGCGUUUUUCCCAGGGUGGCAUGCCCCCACCCUCAUCCCACACCAGCCUCACCGAGGGCACCGCCACUCUGGGAGCCCAUGCGGCAUGUCCGACAAUGGGGCAUUCAGGAAGGCCUUUCCGGAUGGGGUAGAGGCCUGUUUUAUGCCCUGUUAAUUACUGCAACAAUUUAUAAAAUUCGUGACAAACAUAAAGCCCUCACAGAGAUUGUAUUUCAAAUGGUAUUUACCUGCAACAGAAUCCCCUUUGUUUUUAAUUCCUGGAUUUAUGAGCUGUUGCACAACAAAAUGGAACCACCCCUUGUCCCCAAUUGGGGGCACUGGCUGAGAGACCUCACGUAUGCUGUGGAGACAGAAACCUACUCAGACUCAGACUGAGACACCACAGUCGCAGACCCGCCUCCAGUCCAUGGUGUGUCUCAGUUUUGCAGCCUGUGAACUUGGGGAGUGGAGGUUGGACCAGGGCAGGCUACUACAACCAAGUAAGGUUAUUUUGGUGAUUGAUUUGUCCUAGGGAGUUGGGACAGUGCGAGGACCCUGAGCACAUAUUCAGGUUGGAUACCCUUUCUGGCAUUGACAAUCAUCUGUCGUAAGUCUAGCGUCAGCAGUCGAGGACUAGCUCUGGCAGCAAGUCCCUCAAACAAACAGAAAUGGACAGGUAGGCACAGGCACAGCGGGAGGACGUUUCUCUGGGGGAGCAGGUUGGGACGUGUAACAGCUGUUUGUGGUAGUCGUGGUCUCAUCAUCAGAGGGUACCUUUGAAAUGCCUUUGUUGUUGACGUUUCUUUUUUGACGACUGGCAAUGUUUUGAACCAAGAGGUAUAAAUGGCAGGUACUGUGUGCCAAGCUCUGUGCAGGGCGUUUUCUAUAGGUUCACUUGUUCACUCCUUGCCACACCUCUGUGUUGUUAUCCUCAUUUUACAAAUGGGCACUUGGGGCUCAGAGAGAAGAGGGGGUUCGAUGGCAGGAUUGGGAUGUGAAUAUGGUCUGCAUGAUUCCAGAGUCCAUAUGCAUGCUCUGUGCCUCUAAUCUACACCGUGUUCAACUUGGAGUUGACCUUUGAAAGGUGAGCCAACAUUUCAAUAGCAAAGAAGGAAAGGGAAGGUAGUCAGUUUGGGACAUCAGCACCUGAGCAGGUAGGGAGUCAGGUGUAAAUGGAAACAGGAAGUGGUCUCACGUGAUUGAAUCAGAAACUACACAGGAGGUUGUUAUAGGGAGAGAUGAGAUUUGAAAGACAGGUCAAUGCCAGAUGCUAGAAGAUCCACGACUUCUAAGCUGUGAGAUCCUAGGCAAGUUACUCCACCUCUCUGAACCUUCGUCUUUUGAUCCGGAAAACGGAGCUGAAAGGCCCUUCCUGAUUGCCUGUGUAUGUGUUCAUGCACUCGUAUGCCUGUGUAUGUGCAUAAAGCACCUAGUAAGCACGUAAGGAAAGUUCAUCCUCCUCCCUGUUUUUCAGGAGCUGGCGGCUGGCUGGACGGAGUGGUGAGGAGGAGUUGGGGAGGAGUAAUGGAGGGCUGGCAAGGUUUUAGCAGCUCCUGAGGCCCCAGGUUUCUUCCAAUCCCAACAACCUCUUCAUCAUUCCAGCGAUCAGCCUCAGGCCCAUUUGGUGUUAAUUACAGCAACCCAGGCUUCUCUGUGUGAAGGAAACAGGCCCUCAUUUCUCUCAUUAAAGUAAAAUAUGACCCAUUUUUAUGCCUGCGUAUUUUGUUGCCGAGAUUACGAGAAUCAUCUUUUCUGUUUAUACGGAACGAAGAAACGUUACACCAGGAAGGCGGCCUGGGCCCCUGAGUCUGGGGAAUAGGAAGCAGAUGUCGUCCCGCCCUUAUUUUCCCUUCUACCCCAGCUCCCCUCUCCUCCUCUCCACCUCUUCUCCCUCCAGAAGCAUAAUCCUCAUUUCAGAUCAACACGAGGGAAGUGGAUGGUAAGAAAAUAAGCUCACAUUUAUUGAGCUCUUUACCAGGUGCCAAGCCCUAUAAACAAGUUUCUCCUUUAAUUCUCCCCAGAAGCUUCAGGGGCAGUUGGUAUUAAUCCUUUUUCAGCGCCAGUUCCCUCCAACCAAGAAUGCUCCAAGUCGGCCUGGUGCCCCAAGAUGUGGGGCAAACUACUCCUGCUGAUCACAGAUGCAGUUACAGACCUUUGUGACCGCCUUGCUGGCCACAGGACUUCCACAUGACCGUCCUAGUGGCCUCACACAGGGAAGGGAUUCAGGAUAAGGCUGUUGGAGCAGUCCAGAAGAGAGAGAAAGACCGUGGAGAUGGAGCAGCUAAGACACACUAGAGAUUUUUCUGAGUGGGCAGCAGUUAAAUGAAUCCCAUGCCACAGAAUGCUGGGCUACUGAGGAAAGAACAAGGAAGUGCUGUCUACACUCAUGAGGAACGGUCUCCCGGGUAGGGUGUGACGUGGCCGGAGCGAGGCGAGAGACAGAAGCUCUGAGAGUUAAGGAGCUUUUCCCGGGCCUUGUGGCCACCGAGCAGGAAACAGCAACCAGGCCACCCUCUCCUCUGCUUUGUCAUCUAUCAAAUGAGGAUGCUGACUUCUAGGUGAUUAGGACACAGUAUGAAGAGAAUUACGAUUUAGCCUAAGUCCAUGGCUCAGCGAGCCUGCGGAGGAGGGGCUGGAACCUUCUAGGAGGAUGACAAGCUGACCUUUGUCUGGAGUCCUGAAGAACAAGGAGCUGGUGGCCAGGUGGAGAGGAGAAGAGUGCUCGGGGAGAAGCACCAGCCUUGACGAAGGUUUGCAGGCACGAGGCCUGCAGCUCCUCUAGGGCCUGGAGAUGAGCAAAGCAGAGGAACAGAAUGUUACGUGCUGUCUCCAUCAUCUUCUCCCGGGCGGCCAGGGAAGAACUCGGGUCAGUUGCUUCACUCCCACUGAUCUGCUCAACAAACACACGUGGAGCAUCUCCUCAACUGUGCUGGUGCCAAGGGGACAGAGAUGAGUGAUG